rnacentral:rRNA from 1 species
CAGUCGCCGCGGUAAUACGGAGGGAGCUAGCGUUAUUCGGAAUUACUGGGCGUAAAGCGCACGUAGGCGGCUUUGUAAGUAAGAGGUGAAAGCCCGGAGCUCAACUCCGGAACUGCCUUUUAGACUGCAUCGCUUGAAUCCAGGAGAGGUGAGUGGAAUUCCGAGUGUAGAGGUGAAAUUCGUAGAUAUUCGGAAGAACACCAGUGGCGAAGGCGGCUCACUGGACUGGUAUUGACGCUGAGGUGCGAAAGCGUGGGGAGCAAACAGGAUUAGAUACCCGUGUAGUCCCUGUCUCUUAUAC